rnacentral:piRNA from 1 species
UGGAUAUGUUGUUGCCCUUACA